AGUAAAAGGAAUGCCGAGUUUGCCUGUCGCCUGUUAGGUUUGUUUGUAAUUUGCCCAUUUCUGUGUAGGUGCCAGAGGCAGCUUGACAGGACUUAGGGCUCUGGUUCGACUUAUAAGUCUUUACUAAGAUGAGUUUGGGCCUUGAAAGAAAGCAAAUCUUUAUAUAAUGUUCAGCAAGGCUUUUGAGCUUGCUGCAACUUGAGGCUUGCUCAUAAUUAUAAAAUUGUAAAUUUGUAAGUUGUGGUACUUAAUUAAAGGCUUUAUCUUUAAAUAGUAUCUUAAAAUCACUAGCAUCUAUUAAUCGAAUAAAAACAGUAGAAACUGCCAAGUGGGACGAAUGAGUCAUGAAUCAGUUUUGAGAAUUGCAAACCUCAGUUUGUAAGAAAAGCUAAUUUUAGAGUGUGAUAGUGGAAUAAUUAUAUAGUCUAUCUCUUCUUAAUAAUAUACCAUUUGAUUGAGGGUUUCAUAGAAUUGACGCUGAAUGAUUUUUACUAUGUAAUUGAAGAUGUAAGGACAAGUAGUUUGAAUCAGUGCAGUCUCUGAAUUUGUUCCAUAGAGGGAAAUGUGUGUGGCGCUGCCUAAUAACGCUGCCCCUAACCUUAAAACUGGACAAGGAAGGAAGGAUGGAGGAGCAGUAACGCUCCUGCCUGAGAAACAGUGUCUUAGCUUUUACUUACGCCUUGAUUUCAUGUACAUAUGUGUGAGAAGUACUCUUUAUUUCUCCUCCUGUUGUAGAUUGAUUUGGGAGAGCGACCUGUUGUGCAAAGGCGGGAGCCAGUGUCCCUGGAAGAAUGGAACAAGAGCCUUGACCCUGAAGGAAGACUCGUAGCCGUGGAGAGCAUGAAGCAAAAGAUAUUCAGAGGGGUGGGGCCACCUGUGCUUCUCAUUGUGUCAGAGCUGGGCUGCUUGCUUGCUUUUGCACGAAGAGUUGACUCUCAUUUCUUAAUGAAAGAUAUAAUAAAAUACUGUGUUAAGAGGAAGAGUGGGGGCUUACAGUGCCGAGUGCUGAGUUUGCAGAUGUCCAUACAUCUAGAGAAGAUAAUUGUUCUGAUUUUGUUGUGUGGGUUCCAUGAGAAGCCUUAUAAGAGUAGCAUUGUCCUACCCAGUAAGGUUGACCUUCUCCCUCCUCAGCCUUCUGUCCACUGUGCAGUCUGCUGUGUGCUUGUUUUUGGCAGUUUGGCAACUACUAACAUUGCCAGGGUCUAGACACAAGAAACAAGAUAGUAUUCAUUGAAUUAUUUAGAGAUAUAAAACUUAGGUAUUAAGUUUCCUGUUUAUUUAUAGUCAAGUUUUGUGAACUUAAGAGUACUGUUUUUGUUUAUUUUUUUAACUAAUGUGAUUAAUAUGAAUACUUUCUUUAGGGUCUUAGUCAUUCAUUAAGAAAGCAAGCAUGGAAAUUUCUCCUGGGUUAUUUUCCUUGGGAUAGUACCAAAGAGGAAAGAACUCAGUUACAAAAACAAAAAACGUAAGUAAAUGAUGCUUUUGUAUUUUUACCAGAGAAACUCAAGUAACCCACCCAUACAAAUUAAGUUUUUACGGAAAGAUUUGGAGUAGACCAGCAGGAAAUGGGAGGACAAUUAGAUUUCAUUGUUUCAAUUUAAAAAUUAGAAGCAAUGUAAUUAUUUCAAGUCAGAAACACUUAUUUAGAAGGAUCUUGUUACAGCUAUGUUUGUGACUAUGUAAACAUGGUAGAAGGUCCAAGUUUUCUGUGCUAGCUUUGCAUAAAGACAACUAUUUAGAUAUAAGGUAUAGUACUCAUUUCUGUUGGUUUUAUAAUUUAGUUAUGAAAUUGUAGAAUUGGGUUAUACGUGUAUUUGCUGUUUAUAUUAACUAUAAGUUAUUUUCAUGUGCUCAUACAAUGGUCACAUAAAAGAAAGCGUCUCUUUCUUAUUCUUGUAGAGAAAUAUAGCUAACUUCCCAGGUAUUUUUAUGUCUUACCUUUGACUUUAAACUAUUUUCAACCAUUAUGUGCAUAUCAAAGGUCUUUGUCCUUUCUUUUUAUAUUAACAAGUUUUCUAGUAAUAAAACAGGAAAAUAACUUUUAACGUUGGGUUUAAAAGGUUAUUUGAAUUCUUUAUAUUUAUUCAAGAGCUUUAGUGGCUCAAAUAUUUAAUAAGUAGAAUAAGUUUAGAAAUCAUUUCAAGAAUUGAAAUGUAUUAAGGUGUACCUAAGAUGCUAGCAGCUGAAGUUGAUCCCAUCUAUUUUCCUGUUUUCACGUGUGUCUAAACACUUCACUGUCAUGUUUGUAAACUUACUGCCACCGUCAUAGAUACUCUGAUAUACUAUGUAUACACAACUCAAGUAAGCAGUGUCACAGACACAAGGUUCAAUGGCGUCCUGAUGUCCCUGUCUCCUACAGUGAUGAGUACUUCAGGAUGAAACUGCAGUGGAAGUCUGUCAGUGAGGCUCAGGAGAAGAGAAACUCACGCCUGAGAGACUACAGAAGUCUGAUCGGUAGGUUUCCAUACGUGAUAGCAUCGAUACUGGGGCUCAAAAGAAAUCCGAAUUGGAAACUGUGGGUAAUAUACAUUUAUGUGUAGUCUAGCAGGCCUGUUAAAUGAUGGCCUUUGCAUGUUUAAGUACUGAUGGACUACUGUCAUUCCAAAAUGUGAAUUACGGAAAGAUUAUAUCCUUAUUUUAAAAGACCUAUUUUUUUUUAUUCCCUGCGAAAGUGAUGUUGUGCUUAUUGUCAAAAAUUAGAAACUGUAGGUGACC
rnacentral:lncRNA from 1 species